AGGAUAAACGCUGGCGGCGUGCCUAACACAUGCAAGUCGAACGUCUCUUCUUUCGGGAAGAGGAGUGGCGGACGGGUGAGGAACACGUGGGAACCUGCCCUUUAGUGAGGAAUACCGGCGAGAAAUCGCCGACAAGACCGCAUAGCCCUCUUUGAUGAGAGUCAAAGAAGGAAAGCUUCGCAAGAGGCGCUAGAGGAGGGGCCUGCGUCCGAUUAGCUAGUUGGUGGGGUAAGAGCCUACCAAGGCGUCGAUCGGUAGCUGGUCUGAGAGGACGAUCAGCCACACUGGGAUUGAGAACGGCCCAGACUCCUACGGGGGGCAGCAGUGAGGAAUUUUCGGCAAUGGGGGAAACCCUGACCGAGCAACGCCGCGUGCAGGAAGACGGCCUUCGGGUUGUAAACUGCUUUCUUUGGGACGAGGAAGGACGGUACCAGAGGAAUCAGCCCGGCUCACUACGUGCCAGCAGCCGC
rnacentral:rRNA from 1 species